rnacentral:tRNA from 1 species
GCAGGAGUGGUUCAGGGGUAGAAUUCUCGCCUCCCACGUGAGAGACCUGGGUUUGAUUCUCAGUCAGUGCA